UAGGGAAUCUUCCGCAAUGGGCGAAAGCCUGACGGAGCAACGCCGCGUGAGUGAUGAAGGUCUUCGGAUCGUAAAACUCUGUUAUUAGGGAAGAACAAAUGUGUAAGUAACUAUGCACGUCUUGACGGUACCUAAUCAGAAAGCCACGGCUAACUACGUGCCAGCAGCCUCGGUAAUACGUAGGUGGCAAGCGUUAUCCGGAAUUAUUGGGCGUAAAGCGCGCGUAGGCGGUUUUUUAAGUCUGAUGUGAAAGCCCACGGCUCAACCGUGGAGGGUCAUUGGAAACUGGAAAACUUGAGUGCAGAAGAGGAAAGUGGAAUUCCAUGUGUAGCGGUGGAAUGCGCAGAGAUAUGGAGGAACACCAGUGGCGAAGGCGACUUUCUGGUCUGUAACUGACGCUGAUGUGCGAAAGCGUGGGGAUCAAACAGG
rnacentral:rRNA from 1 species